CGAUGACAGACCGUGAAAGUGGAAGAUCAUAAUGAGCUCUUAUUCAUCAAAGCACCCAAAAACAAAUCUGACAGAUUUGACAAAGGGUUGGUGAAAUUGUUUCAACCCAUAAUUUUAGUGUUGAAAUUUCUUGGUGUUAACCACUAACUGUCCUUGAAGACCUUUCAGAAUAGAGAAGAAGAUAGCGGGAGCAGUAGAGGUAGGACUAGGUGUUGGUGCAUCAGUGGCACAAGUGGCGGAGACGACGCCCGGAGAUGGUAGCCAGAGACGACGGCCAGAGACAGUGGUCGAAGACGACGGCCGGAGACGGUGGCCGGAGACGACGGUUGGAGACGGUGGCCGGAGAUGACGACCGGACAUAGUGGUCGGAGACGGUGGCUGGAGACGGUGGCCGGAGAC
rnacentral:lncRNA from 1 species